UACAGAGGGAUGCUACCGGGCGACCGGAUGCGGAUCUCGAAAGCCUGUCCCAGUUCGGACUGGAGUCUGCAACCCGACUCCACGAAGUUGGAUUCGCUAGUAAUCGCGCAUCAGCCAUGGCGCGGUGAAUACGUUCCCGGGCCUUGUACACACCGCCCGUCAAGCCAUGGGAGCCGGGGGCGCCUGAAGUCCGGGACCGCGAGGACCGGCCUAGGGCGAAACUGGUAACUGGGGCUAAGUCGUAACAAGGUAGC
rnacentral:rRNA from 1 species